UACGUAGGGUGCGAGCGUUAAUCGGAAUUACUGGGCGUAAAGCGUGCGCAGGCGGUUUUUUAAGACAGGCGUGAAAUCCCCGGGCUUAACCUGGGAACUGCAUUUGUGACUGUAGAGCUGGAGUGCGGCAGAGGGGGAUGGAAUUCCGCGUGUAGCAGUGAAAUGCGCAGAUAUCAGGAGGAACACCGGUGGCGAAGGCGGGUCUCUGGGCCGAUAUUGACGCUGAGGAGCGAAAGCGUGGGGAGCGAACAGG
rnacentral:rRNA from 1 species